GAGGCAGCUGGAACAAACCAUUUUGGGAGUGGAGGAUUAUCUCUACUGUUGUUGUUAAAAUGUUACGUCUCAAACAAGUACAGUAAGGAUCGUUCCCAUUUGAACCCACUACAAACCUUAACGGAGGAAGAAGAUGCAGUCCUGCGCAUUGAUGAAUGGACAACACCAGCAGAUUAGACAAGCCUCUCAGCCCUCGCAAGCUGCUCCUUAUCAUGCCCACGAUGCAACAAGAAAUCUGCAAUCUUGGACUCCAACUCAAACCAUCCACUAUCAAGCAAGAAACCUAGGAGUCCAAAAUGUACACUCUGAACAUUUCCCUUUGCACAAUGGAGCUUAUUCUAACAGACAAAUGUCAAAUUUGCAGACUUCUGCAGGAACUUAUCAGGAGGUUUCUUCUCAGCAGACCGGUGGAGGCAAUAACAAUAGUUAUUUUUCUGAUAUGUUAUUUAACUAUAUUCAAAAUGUAUCAGCUAAUAAGCAAAGUGGAAACCCAUCUUUGCCAGCCUCUGGAUUUCAGAUUCCCACUCUGCAAGACUGUGAUCAGAAUUCAUCAACUCAGAGUCCAUCUAACCAGAUGAACUCAAACGCUACAUAUACCCAGCAAGGCAUGUCCACUCAUUGGAAAGAGUCAGUGGUUGUUAAUGAGAGACAAAUGAUAGGAACACGGGAUAGAACUGUGACUGAUAUCCAGCAUGCCCGUGUUCAGCAGGGCAUGCAACAGAAUGUGAAUGGAGACUUGACAAAACCCAUUUCAGCGUACACUACACCAACUAUCUCAUUUCCAGCUGAACGUGGUUUAUGUACCAGCACUAUGAUGUCUGGCUCUGAACAGACUGUGUACCUUGUUCCGAACAAUCAGGUUCAGAGACAAAGCGGCACUCAGCAUGGAUUCUCUCCUGUCAUCUCACAGAGUUACAAUAUGGGAACCUCUCAGACUUCAGGAAACAAUAACACUGCAACAUAUCCACCAUCAAGUGCACAGAAUUCUUACUUUUCCACCACGAGCCACAAAACUCAGCAACACUCGGCUCAGCACCAAUUAAGACACAACAAUGGGAUCAAGACUGCCACCUACAAUAACUCAAAUUUUUAUAAAAAGUAUGAAAAUAUUACUCACUCUGCAAAAAUGAGAGCGCGUCAGAUAAAAACUUCUACACAACAGAAAGUGAUCAGGCACUCAUUAAGUGCAGAUAGUUUAAAUAAUUCAUGUACUCCUGGGUCUGAUGGUUGUCCUGCUCCUCCACCAUACAGCUAUUCAAAUCACAGACGGCAGCAGUUUGUCAGAACGACCACAAUGAUCGUGUCUAAUCAAUCUAAUAUUCAACCUGGGACUUCGGCUACCCCUAAAAAUUAUAGUAACUUGAAUGCCAUCAAGUUAUUACCCGGCCAUUCUGGACAGUCUUUACCUCAAAGCACUCAAAGUGUAAUGUCAAGAACACAGCAUGCUGUAAGUAGACCCCAUCAGCAAACCUGUGUACCUAACAGUUUCCACAAAUCUGCUGCAGGAAAUGAAAAAAGCCCAAGUAAGGAAAACAAUGAAAUUCAUUCUAAAAAGAACUGUAGCUUAAUUGAAUUGUUGCUUGGUUCAUCCCUGCUGCCGGAAUCUGCUGACAGCAAGACACGAUCAUCAGUAGCAAGCAGUUUUGAGACGCUACCAUCAGUCCAGUUAAACGACAGCUCUGUUCACUCAUCACCUGGAAACGCCGGCACCAAAGCUGUUGCUGUUGUACAACCGCUGCCGUCACUGGAAAGUCAGCUUCACAAUGACCAUGCUUCUUGUGAUUCCACAGCAGGAGACUCUUUAAACAACCCUAAGAAAACUUUUGCUUUGGAUACCACAGCAAUUAACAAAACGCUGCCAACUACAGAGUCAGGGACACAAAACACAGGGAAACAGUCUGAACUGGAUGUUAAUGUUCAAAAUUCAAUUCCAUCCCAAGAAUCAGUAAGCCAAAAUUCUCCUGAAGACCAAAGUGGGAUUCAGACACUUUCAACAUCACCCGUUUCUGACCUUUCCGCACUCCCAACAGCCCCAUGGACAUUAUUGGCACUAACGAAGUUGAUAAAAGAUGCAGAAAAGAAUCAGAAAGAGCCCAGCGAUUUGAAAGAAUUACACACUGCACAAAAAAUAUUAGACCUGUUUUGGGAGGGAAAACUUGAAACAUUACAAAUGUACUCAAGCAAGGUAUGCUUUCUCCAGGUUUUAGAAGUUAAAGACUUCUGCAAAAAAUAUUUAACAGCCAACUCUGUUGUACUGUUGGAGGUAGAUGGCAAUUUUGAGGAGCAAAUGAAAAGCUACCAUGUCCUCAAAGACAAUGAAGUAUUUUCAGAAUUGCCUUACAAAUCAUCAUGGUUAAAUCUAAAUGAGCAGUUGGAUGAAAUAGACAAAGAAUUUGGUUUCCCAUUGUCUUUGAAACAUCACACUUUAUUGCUUGAGAGUGAUGGCCAGAAAGAUCAGAUGCACAUCAACAACAGUGAUCCUGCAAUUGUGAGUAAAGUGCCAAGCAAGGUCUUGCCAUUAAAAGAUUUUGAACCUGUUGAUUCAAAUGAAGGAAAAGAAACCACCACACUUGAACCCCCCUCAAUUCAAACUUCCUCCCCUAAUCAGACAGAUGGUUCCAGUGACCCAUGUUUGUCACUGAAAAUCCAAGUUAUGCCUCCAGAAGAAGCCAGACGUUACCAUGAGCAAAUGGAAAAUGCGAUGCCACAAAGUAUGGAUGCAGAGAGGGUCGUAGGUAGUUUCACGGAGAGUGAGACACCUGAUAAUACAGAGUCCACAUCGAGGAAAUCAGAAUUGGAAACGGUGGAAAUUGGCAUAAGUCAGUCGCUUUGCUGUCUUACAAAGCUGUUGGAAAUGACUAUAGGGUCAAGUACACCUUCUGAUUGUAAAUGCCACAGCCAGAAAGAACAAAAGUAUAGAAAAUGGAUCAACAAGACCAGUGAUAUUGGCGAAACAGUUGUACUAAAGCACAAUAACCAGUUUGGGAAGGAUCCAGUAAAGGACAAGGAGAACACUGAUGAUCAAGUUGUGACAUUUAGUGGCCCUGAGUUUUGUAGCCUUCUUGAUCAAGCCAUAGAUUUGACUGAAGAUGAUGACCAACCUCAUUCGCCUUCUGAACUAAAUUCUAAGAACCACUGCAAAAUAGCCAAUACCAGUCAUUCAAGUGUUAUAUUUAUAAAUGAUGAAGAUGAAGAUCUCUCCAGUGGUGAAAACGAAAUUCUUAGCCAGAAGACAGAUCUUGCCAUAAAGAUGUCUGAACGUGACGAUAAGUGUGGACAAGAACAACCGAAGUCUAAACCAUUGAGUCUGUCAGGUGCCUCAGUCAGUACUGACAAAGCUGAAACUGACAAAUUCUGCAGCACUGAGACUGAGAUUGCCAUCCAGCUCCUGGAUCAUGGCAGGAGUUGUGAAGAAGCUUUAGAUGUGCCAGCAUCCCCUUUGAAAACCACAGAGCAAUCUCAAAUCUGUGCUAACAGUGACUUUAAAGCAUCUGUGAAGCAUAAAAAAACCAAAAGAAAACACAAGAGACUCGAAUGGGAUAAUGAAUUUGGUCCACCCCAAAAGGAAUCAAAGAAAUGCAACUCACCUGUUGAUCUUAAUUUAGAACAUGCCCUUGAUGGUGUUUCAAAAUGUGAAAAAGAGCCUGAUGUUGAAGCUGAAGCUCUCAAUAUAGACUCAAAAAGAACUGCAGAACUGGUGCUGUUUGGCUCAGCUCAACAAGACAAGUGUGCUUUAACUGGCAGCAGAAAAGCCCAUUCCCCUUUUGUAAAGAAUGCGUCUAAGGCAGCACACCCGAGGCCUCCAGAAGUUCUUACUGUCAAUCUCAACCCUUUGAGUAGCAAGUUCAGUGACACGGUCUACAACAGGAAUUAUUCAGUCAAACAACUAAUUCAUGACAAAUGGUGGAGAAGUUUUCAACCGACUAAAGCCAGUCACAAAAAAAAACUUAAACGCCGUUCUUACUCUGUAGCUGGGGGUAGCUUGAUGAAACGAGAUGAAACUAAGGACUCCCGGAAUCUGAAGACGCUUGGAGAGGAGAAGAAGGAUAUCAUCGCUGAUAAUAAGAGACGUUCCUCUAAAAAUGAAAGCCAAAAUGUCAAACCUUGCCAGGAGCACAUAGUCUUGAGGUUCAGUGUUCUACCCAGUAACUUUGACCUCAAAGAUGGAUCCAGUGGCAGGAAGGAAUCCACCAAUCCAGUUUCAGAAGAGCGUACCGUCUUUACAGAUAAGCCAGAAAAAGAGCAGAGCGCUGCUACAGCUGUCACAAAACCAAAAGGUAAAUGGGGUUCGAGUCUGCAGAAGAAUAGACCUCAACAUAUUCCCAAGACCUUCAGCCUCUUCCACGAGUAUCAGAAGAAAUACAAAGAGCGGGCUCACUCAAAAGAUGAAUAAUGUGAAAGAUGUCUUUUCUCAGGGAAUAUUUUUUUCAUUAAAGACAUUUAGUACAAAGAUUUUGACUAAAAUUAUGCCUUUGUAACUUUUUGUUGUUUACAUGCCUGUAAAAAGCGUUACAGUCAUGAGCAGGUGUAGUUACUGACUUUUCGAGACGUGGGAAUUUGGCAACCUUUACGAAUGUGUUCAAGUAAUGACAUUCUGUCUUGGUUAUUAUUGUGUCACUGCUCCUUGUCGGUUCUCCACUGUACUCGGGACAGUGGAGAAAGGAAGACAUGGUGUUUGCUGUUGGUGCAGUUCUGUUUAAUGAGCUGAGAAGCUCUGAAGAUGAAUGAAAGGUGCGCG
ensembl:lncRNA